rnacentral:lncRNA from 1 species
CCAAGGUUGGAGAAGACCUAGAAGAUCACCCAGUCCAACCAUCCACCUAUCACCAGUAGUUCUCACUAAACCAUGUCCCUCAACACAACGUCCAAACAUCCCUUGAACACCUCCAGGGUCGGUGACUUCACCAUCUCCCUGGGCAGCCCAUUCCAGUGCUUGACCACUCUUUCAGAGAAGUAGUAUUUCCUAACGUUCAGCCUGAAUCUCUCCUGGUGCAACUUGAGGCCAUUCUCUCUAGUCCUAUCACCAGUUGCAUGAGAGAAGAGGCUGGACCCCAGCUCACCACAACCUCCCUUCAGUUACAGAGGGCAAUAAGGCCUCCCCUUAGCCUCCUCUUCUCCCAGCUUCCUCAGCUGCUCCCCAUAAGACUUGUGCUCCAGACCCCUCACCAGCCUUAUUGCCCUUUUCAGAACACACUCCAAGGCCUCAAUGUCUUUCUAGCAGUGGGGGGCCGAAAACUGAACACAGUACUUGAGGUGCAGCCUCACCAGUGCUGAGUACAGAGUGACAAUUACUUCCCUGCUCCUACUAGCAACACUAUUUCUGAUACAUUUCUGUAUGGGAAUUGCUGAAUCAUGGCCUGAACCUCUGAUUGAUCAGCUGAGGUGAGCAAUGAGUCAGCCCUGGGAGCACAGGUGAAGGCAAUUCACCUGUACUGCCAGAAGGGGUGGGACUUGGCUCCACCUCUCAUAGACCCAUUUAAGAGCUGACCACCAGUAGAGAAGGGUCUCUUUCUGGAGAUCCCUCUUUUUGGAGUUUUCCUGAAAGCCCAGGACAAGGGUUAGUCCUCUGUCUAUUCUUUUUUUGGUGUAGUAACCUGCUUAGCCAAGCUCUCUUGUAUGUUUCCGAAUUAUAACAUCUGUAUAUUUGUUGGUUAUACAGUUUCUUAUACAGCUAUACACCAAAUUGGUCAGAAGCAAUCAAUAGGGUUCAGGCUAGUCUUGCACUGCCUCUGGGCAUGGGCAUCCAACAUCACGUUGGAUGAUGUUGAACUCCAUUCCUUGAGCAGAACCACUGACUGUCUCCAGCCACAGUUAGUGCGGAGUUACCAUGCCUUCUUGUUUGCUGUUGUCAGCGGUGAGGAAUGUAGAGGCAAUUGAACAGUAAGCAUAAGAAACUACCAGGGAAACGAUGUGUCUGCAGAAGAUGAAGACCUUGGGUUCAUUGGAAAUGCUGCAGACAGAUCUUUUCUCACUUUGACACUGAGGUGCUGCAAAUGGACAGUGCAUCCUCUCCUGCACCUUAGGACAACACAUACUCUUUACUCGGUAUGUAUCACAUGCACAGAUAGAAGGUGUCCAUGAACAGAGGGAUUCCGACACUGUUGGUACUAGCAGCCUCCUUCAGUGGGUGAGCCAUGGUGUUCUCUGCAUGCCUUCUCUAUCUGAUUAUAUCUUCAUGUCAAAGGUCAGGUGUCCACGUGAAUGCAAUAAAUGCUUGUAAUCUCCUGCA